GCCUCAGUAACUGCGAGUGAAGCGGCAAGAGCUCAAAUUUGAAAUCGAGAUCGCCUCUGGCGGCUCGAGUUGUAAUUUGGAGGGGCAUCUUCGGGGCGGGCGCCGUUCCAAGUUCCUUGGAACAGGACGUCGCAGAGGGUGAGAGUCCCGUCUCUGGACGGCUGUCCCGUCCCAUGUGAAGUGUCUCCGACGAGUCGAGUUGUUUGGGAAUGCAGCUCAAAAUGGGUGGUAAGUUCCAUCUAAAGCUAAAUAUUGGCGAGAGACCGAUAGCGCACAAGUAGAGUGAUCGAAAGAUGAAAAGCACUUUGAAAAGAGAGUUAAAAAGUACGUGAAAUUGUUGAAAGGGAAGCGCUUGAGACCAGACUCGGCCGUCGACGACCAUCGGUGCUUCUGUGCUGUGCACUCGUCGAAGGCUGGGCCAGCAUCGGUUCCUGCGGCGGGAAAAAGGCCCGGGCAAUGUGGCUCCCUCGCAAGGGGGAGUGUUAUAGGCCCGGGCGUCAUGCCGCCAGCGGGGACCGAGGACCGCGCUCCGGCUAGGAUGCUGGCGUAAUGGUCUUAAGCGACCCGUCUUGAAACACGGACCAAGGAGUCUAACAUCUAUGCGAGUGUUCGGGUGGAAAACCCUUGCGCGUAAUGAAAGUGAACGCAGGUGGGAACCCCUCGGGGUGCACCAUCGACCGAUCCUGAUGUCUUCGGAAGGAUUUGAGUAGGAGCAUAGCUGUUGGGACCCGAAAGAUGGUGAACUAUGCCUGAAUAGGGUGAAGCCAGAGGAAACUCUGGUGGAGGCUCGCAGCGGUUCUGACGUGCAAAUCGAUCGUCAAAUUUGGGUAUAGGGGCGAAAGACUAAUCGAACCAUCUAGUAGCUGGUCCUGC
rnacentral:rRNA from 1 species